UCCGCAGGCGGGCAAUUAAGUCCGAGGUGAAAUCCCACAGCUCAACGGUGGAACUGCCUUUGAUACUGGUUGUCUUGAGUUAUAGUGAAGUAGAUAGAAUAUGUAGUGUAGCGGUGAAAUGCAUAGAUAUUACAUAGAAUACCGAUUGCGAAGGCAGUCUACUAACUAUAUACUGACGCUGAUGGACGAAAGCGUGGGGAGCGAACAGGAUUAGAUACCCUGGUAGUCC
rnacentral:rRNA from 1 species